GACGAACCGUGCUAACGUUGUUCGGAAUCACUGGGCUUAAAGGGCGCGUAGGCGGGCAGCCAAGUCCGGGGUGAAAUCUUUCGGCUCAACCGGAAACGAGCCUUGGAUACUGGCUGUCUCGAGGGAGGUAGGGGUCUGUGGAACUUCCGGUGGAGCGGUGAAAUGCGCAGAUAUCAGGAAGAACACCCGUGGCGAAGGCGGCUUUCUGGGACGGUACUGACGCUGAGACGCGAAAGCGUGGGGAGCGAACAGG
rnacentral:rRNA from 1 species